rnacentral:lncRNA from 1 species
AAAUUAUUUUCAUCCUAACAUUGUCUUAGAAUUGGAGACAAGAAGGGUCAUGCAAAGGGACCAGGCAUCGCACACUGUAACUGGUGCCCUCAUCCUCUGAUCUUGACCUCUAAACCUGUGACUUUGAAGCUGUGGCAUCUACAUUCUGCUGACAUCGGUCUUCCCCAAUGGCUCACACUAACCUCUUCUCCAGGCUCAUCUCCAAGUUGCUCUGGGUGCUUCCUCAGCCAGCACAUAACUUUAGAAAACCAGACACGAGAAUAGAGGAGCAUAGAGCCAAAUGCCCAUCUCAACUCGCUUAGGAGAAAGGCAGAGGACACGGGUGAUCACGGGAAAGUCUAUCAGAGCAAAAACGAAUGUUUCAAAAAUACAAGUGACAGGAGUUGAACUCCAAAGCCAAGAGUUACAACUCUCCAGUCAACAGAGGAAACAGGAAAGACUUGUCUGUGCUCAAGGCAGCUUGCUUUAUGUCAGCACAUUUAAAACCACACUCCAUUAGAGAGGGUGUGCCGGUAGGUCACUCCAGAGAGGAAAAUGGCGUUUCGAUGCCCUGUGAAGAAAGCUAAUAGCCUUACUGACAGGAGGCAUCGGCCAUGAAGAGGUCAGCAGAAGGGAGUUUCCUAACCCCACAUGCACUUUAAGAGAGAGACUGAGGAGAUAGAAAAUCGCAAGCAUGUGUGCUUCCCAGCUUUCCCCUCCACCUGUCCUGGGAGCCCUAGAACGGGAGCCACAGGUGUGGGUCUGGUUCAUUCAGGGCUCACAGUGCAUGUCCUUGGAGGGACACUGGAGUCACUUGGUUCCAUAGCAGUCCAGAGUCACUGCGCCUGUUCUGAGUGGGUGACAAGUGAUGUCACCCUCCACACACAUUCACACAUGCACACUCAUGUACACACAUUUACAUACACUGUGGAGUUUUGUGUACAUGCAUGAACAUACACACACACAUAUAUAUAUAUAUAUAUAUAUAUAUAUAUAUAUAUAUAUACAUACAUAAACAUAUAUGCAUGCACAGAAAUACACGUACAUCCACAGUAUGGGCAUCACAUACACACAGAAACACACAUGCA